GGUGAAGUAAACAAGAACUCAUCUUUGUUUCUUCACCUAGCUGAAAUUCAUAAAAAGAAGAAGAGUGAAAGAUGGUUUUGGGACCGUUCGGUCAAUUGGAGGCAAAUUUGAAGAUCGUUUACUCUUACUAUUAGCUCGAGGAUCGUCAACACUUCGUCACACUAUCUACUAUUGUGGUAAUCAUGUGAUUUGGACUUAGCUUAUGGCAUGUAUAGGAUAGACUAUAAGUAGAAUGAUAUUUUGACUAUUGUAUAUAAGCCAUGCGAAUAUGGCAUCUUAUGGAAGUUUACUUUUAUAAUUUUUAAAUUCGAUCUUUGUUUGUGUCUAUUAGUUAUAUAAAUAAA